AGGAUGAACGCUAGCUACAGGCUUAACACAUGCAAGUCGAGGGGCAGCAUCAUCAAAGCUUGCUUUGAUGGAUGGCGACCGGCGCACGGGUGAGUAACACGUAUCCAACCUGCCGACAACACUGGGAUAGCCUUUCGAAAGAAAGAUUAAUACCGGAUGGUAUAGUUUUCCCGCAUGGGAUAAUUAUUAAAGAAUUUCGGUUGUCGAUGGGGAUGCGUUCCAUUAGGCAGUUGGCGGGGUAACGGCCCACCAAACCUACGAUGGAUAGGGGUUCUGAGAGGAAGGUCCCCCACAUUGGAACUGAGACACGGUCCAAACUCCUACGGGAGGCAGCAGUGAGGAAUAUUGGUCAAUGGACGAGAGUCUGAACCAGCCAAGUAGCGUGAAGGAUGACUGCCCUAUGGGUUGUAAACUUCUUUUAUACGGGAAUAAAGUUAGCCACGUGUGGUUUUUUUGUAUGUACCGUAUGAAUAAGGAUCGGCUAACUCCGUGCCAGCAGCCGCGGUAAUACGGAGGAUCCGAGCGUUAUCCGGAUUUAUUGGGUUUAAAGGGAGCGUAGGCGGGUUGUUAAGUCAGUUGUGAAAGUUUGCGGCUCAACCGUAAAAUUGCAGUUGAUACUGGCGACCUUGAGUGCAACAGAGGUAGGCGGAAUUCGUGGUGUAGCGGUGAAAUGCUUAGAUAUCACGAAGAACUCCGAUUGCGAAGGCAGCUUACUGGAUUGUAACUGACGCUGAUGCUCGAAAGUGUGGGUAUCAAACAGGAUUAGAUACCCUGGUAGUCCACACAGUAAACGAUGAAUACUCGCUGUUGGCGAUAUACAGUCAGCGGCCAAGCGAAAGCAUUAAGUAUUCCACCUGGGGAGUACGCCGGCAACGGUGAAACUCAAAGGAAUUGACGGGGGCCCGCACAAGCGGAGGAACAUGUGGUUUAAUCCGAUGAUACGCGAGGAACCUUACCCGGGCUUAAAUUGCAACUGACGGAACCGGAAACGGUUCUUUCUUCGGACAGUUGUGAAGGUGCUGCAUGGUUGUCGUCAGCUCGUGCCGUGAGGUGUCGGCUUAAGUGCCAUAACGAGCGCAACCCUUACGGGUAGUUACCAUCAGGUUAUGCUGGGGACUCUACCCGGACUGCCGUCGUAAGAUGUGAGGAAGGUGGGGAUGACGUCAAAUCAGCACGGCCCUUACGUCCGGGGCUACACACGUGUUACAAUGGGGGGUACAGAAGGCAGCUACACGGCGACGUGGUGCUAAUCCCAAAAGCCUCUCUCAGUUCGGAUUGGAGUCUGCAACCCGACUCCAUGAAGCUGGAUUCGCUAGUAAUCGCGCAUCAGCCACGGCGCGGUGAAUACGUUCCCGGGCCUUGUACACACCGCCCGUCAAGCCAUGAAAGCCGGGGGUACCUGAAGUACGUAACCGCGAGGAGCGUCCUAGGGUAAAACU
rnacentral:rRNA from 1 species